rnacentral:lncRNA from 1 species
CGAGCGGGCUGCGGGAGGACCUGAGGCGCGCGGCGGCCGGCCCUAGAGGGGCCUGUCCCGGGGCCCCAAGCAAGAGCCGCCGCAGGAGGAGGCGGCGGCGGCCGGAAACGAGUUCCCUGAGUCCGGAUACAGGAAGCAUGGCUUGACAGUACUUCACCUUGCAGCCUGGUCUGGAAGUCUCGAGAGCGUGCUCAUGUUGACUCGAGCUGGAGCGGACCAGAGAGCCGAGAGGCAGGCAGGAGGGGAGUGCUGCCCUGCACCUCAAGGCGAAGCGUGGUCACAGCCCUGCGAUUCAGUGCUGCUCACCCAGCCGCCAGGAAUGCAGAGAUCAAGGAGGUGUGUGCAGGGGCUCAUACAAGGUGAGCAUGCGGCGCAGAAGUGGAAGAGUGGGAAGAACGACUUUCAAGAAAGGAGUAGGGGCAAACGAAAGUGUUUGUGCCACAGGGUGCAAAGUGAAGAGCCAGUCACUCAGUCGUGUCCAACUCUUUGUGACUCCAUGGACUACACAGUCCAUGGAAUUCUCCAGGCCAGAAUCCUGGAGUGGGUAGCCUUUGCCUUCUCCAGGGAAUCUUCCCAACUCAGGGAUUGAACCCAGGUCCCCUGCAUUGAAGGCAGGUUCUUUACCAGCUGAGCCACAGGGAAGCCCACAGGGUGUAAAAGGUGAUGCUGAAAGAUUCCUCCCUUUUCCUUUAAAGUAACUCACAGCGGUUCAUUUGUUAAUCCAUUCACUUAUUCACCAAAAAAUAUUUAAUGUGUGCUCUGGAUGAUGGUUAGAGUAUGAGGCAGAGAGCAUCACUGACUCAAUGGACCUGAAUUUGAGUAAGC